rnacentral:rRNA from 1 species
UACGUAGGGGGCAAGCGUUGUCCGGAAUCAUUGGGCGUAAAGCGCGUGUAGGCGGCUCGGUAAGUCUGCUGUGAAAGUCCAGGGCUCAACCCUGGGAUGCCGGUGGAUACUGCUGAGCUCGAGUCCGGAAGAGGCGAGUGGAAUUCCUGGUGUAGCGGUGAAAUGCGCAGAUAUCAGGAGGAACACCGAUGGCGAAGGCAGCUCGCUGGGACGUGACUGACGCUGAGACGCGAAAGCGUGGGGAGCAAACAGG